ensembl:misc_RNA 7SK 7SK RNA
GGAUGUAAGGGUGAUCUAGCUGUGACAUCUGUCACUGCAUUGAUUGCCAAGGUUGAUUUGGCUGAUCUGGCUGGUGGGGCAGGUGUUCCCUUUCUCCUGCACCACUCCGGGUGCCUCCCUCCUACAGCUGCACACUAAGUCAAAGAGGAUGACCGUCUUCAAUAGAGGAGGACAAUUCUUCGGUCAAGGGCACAUAUAUGAGUAGCUGUGCUCCCUUGCUAGCACCUCCAAACAAGCUCUCAAGGUUCAUUUGUGGGAGAACAGAGGGUAGUCAAGCUUCCAAGACACCAGACACAUCCAAAUGAGGCAUGUGUCUUAGUGU